rnacentral:rRNA from 1 species
UGGGGAAUCUUGGACAAUGGGCGCAAGCCUGAUCCAGCCAUGCCGCGUGAGUGAAGAAGGCCUUCGGGUUGUAAAGCUCUUUUACCAGGGACGAUAAUGACGGUACCUGGAGAAUAAGCCCCGGCAAACUUCGUGCCAGCAGCCGCGGUAAUACGAAGGGGGCUAGCGUUGUUCGGAAUUACUGGGCGUAAAGCGCACGUAGGCGGAUUGUUAAGUCAGAGGUGAAAUCCCGGAGCUCAACUUCGGAACUGCCUUUGAUACUGGCAAUCUAGAGUCCGGAAGAGGUUAGUGGAAUUCCCAGUGUAGAGGUGAAAUUCGUAGAUAUUGGGAAGAACACCAGUGGCGAAGGCGGCUAACUGGUCCGGUACUGACGCUGAGGUGCGAAAGCGUGGGGAGCAAACGAGGAUUAGAUACCCUCGUAGUCCCUGAGCGGGCUGGCAAGGCGCAU